rnacentral:rRNA from 1 species
UACGAACCGUACAAACGUUAUUCGGAAUCACUGGGCUUAAAGGGUGCGUAGGCGGCCAUGUAAGUGAGGUGUGAAAUCCCUCGGCUCAACCGAGGAACUGCGCUUCAUACUGCAUGGCUUGAGGGAGACAGGGGUAAGCGGAACUGAUGGUGGAGCGGUGAAAUGCGUUGAUAUCAUCAGGUACACCGGUGGCGAAAGCGGCUUACUGGGUCUCUUCCGACGCUGAGGUACGAAAGCUAGGGUAGCAAACAGG